GCAGUCGUGGCCGAGUGGUUAAGGCGAUGGACUUGAAAUCCAUUGGGGUCCCCGCGCAGGUUCGAAUCCUGCCGGCUGCG
rnacentral:tRNA from 1 species